UACGGAGGGUGCAAGCGUUAUCCGGAUUCACUGGGUUUAAAGGGUGCGUAGGUGGCUUUGUAAGUCAGUGGUGAAAUGCCGGAGCUUAACUCCGGAACUGCCAUUGAUACUGCUUAGCUUGAAUCACGUCGAGGUGGAUGGAAUAUUACAUGUAGCGGUGAAAUGCUUAGAUAUGACAUAGAACACCAAUUGCGAAGGCAGCUGGCUACGCGAAUAUUGACACUGAUGCACGAAAGCGUGGGGAUCAAACAGG
rnacentral:rRNA from 1 species